CCCACGAUAUUUUGAGCCAUUUAUCCGGUAUACGAGCAUCGUACAUUGCGUCCAACGAUUUACGUAAGCCUUGGCUCAUCACGAUGGUACCUUCGAUAGCAAGCUUCAAAUCCGUCAAGGUGCAAGGCUCCCAUACGUUGAAGAGCUUCUUUCACCUCGAAAGAGUUGUACUGUUUUGGUAAUUUCGCUAACAUGUCGCUAGCCAAUUUGUACACAACGUUUUCUCGGGUUUCGCCACCUUGGGCACCGCCCUCUUUGGGUUGGACACUUAGAAUCGUGUCGAGUAUCCCUUUCGCUGUGUUUAUCUGCCAAGAGGUCCGAACUUCCUACGUUCUUGGACCACGGUAUGAAGAAAUGCAACAGCGUACAACAGAGGAGGCCAUUGUGAUUGUGUGCUAUAAUCCAACAAGUCUUGGGUCACGCUUUGUGUUAAUAAAUGAAGAAAGGAACCUGCAGUAAACCAAUAGGAAACUGGGUGUGCACUUCGGUGGUCAUCCAAAGUCUGAACGCCUCGUGGACAGUUUCCGUUUCAACGAGGGCGUCCAUCACUUCCGUGCAGAAAGGAAGCGAUAAAUGGAUAUUUUGCAGCAACACCCAACCGCCAGCAUUCAUAGCAUCUGAUAUCAACCUUCGAGCGUGGAACUCUUGACCUUGACCCAUGGACACUGAUCUCAACUCUGGAACAUACAUUACUCUGGAAACAUUUGUUUCACUCCAUUUGCUAUGGAAGAUGACACACAUUAAGGGUUGAUACAAAACUGUGUUACAAAACUGAUUCUCCAUGAACUUUAAUUUUUCCAAUCAAAGUAGAACAUACUUCAAAUAUAGUAAAAUAAUAUAAACUUCCUGAGGGUAUAACGAAACUAUUAUCAAUGUCGAUUUCCCCUUGUUCGGAAUUAUUUUAAUAAUAAGGAAUACUUUCCAGAGAAAUUAUUGCAAUUGGUUCAUUUGUGCUUCUUACUAUAGAUAUGUAGGAUUAUUCAUUAGAAUAGCUAAAGAUUACACUUAUCCCACCGAAAUAAUGGAUGCCAACUGUUUCAGGUU